rnacentral:rRNA from 1 species
UACGAAGGGGGCUAGCGUUGCUCGGAAUCACUGGGCGUAAAGGGUGCGUAGGCGGGUCUUUAAGUCAGGGGUGAAAUCCUGGAGCUCAACUCCAGAACUGCCUUUGAUACUGAGGAUCUUGAGUACGGGAGAGGUGAGUGGAACUGCGAGUGUAGAGGUGAAAUUCGUAGAUAUUCGCAAGAACACCAGUGGCGAAGGCGGCUCACUGGCCCGUUACUGACGCUGGAGGCACGAAAGCGUGGGGGAGCAAACAGG